rnacentral:rRNA from 1 species
GAUGAACGCUAGCGGCAGGCCUAACACAUGCAAGUCGAGGGAGAAGCCCUUUCGGGGGCAGAAACCGGCGCACGGGUGCGUAACGCGUAUGCAACCUACCCUUCACAGGGGGAUAGCCCGAAGAAAUUUGGAUUAAUACCCCAUAAUAUUAUUGGAUGGCAUCAUUUGAUAAUUAAAACUGCGGUGGUGAAAGAUGGGCAUGCGUCCUAUUAGCUAGUUGGAGUGGUAACGGCACCCCAAGGCUACGAUAGGUAGGGGUCCUGAGAGGGAGAUCCCCCACACUGGUACUGAGACAGGGACCAGACUCCUACGGGAGGCAGCAGUGAGGAAUAUUGGUCAAUGGUCGGAAGACUAAACCAGCCAUGCCGCGUGCAGGAAGAAUGCCUUAUGGGUUGUAAACUGCUUUUAUAUGGGAAGAAUAAGGCGUACGUGUACGUGAUGACGGUACCCAUAGAUAG